rnacentral:rRNA from 1 species
GACAGAGGGUGCAAACGUUGUUCGGAAUUACUGGGCAUAAAGCGCGCGUAGGCCGUUCGCUAAGUCAGGUGUGAAAGCCCCCGGCUCAACCGGGGAAUUGCAUUUGAUACUGGCGAGCUUGAGGAUGAGAUGGGUGGGCGGAACUCCAGGUGGAGCGGUGAAAUGCGUAGAUAUCUGGAGGAACACCGGUGGCGAAAGCGGCCCACUGGACCAUCACUGACGCUGAGGCGCGAAAGCUAGGGUAGCAAACGGG